GUAAGGAAUAUUGCGCAAUGGAGGCAACUCUGACGCAGCCAUGCCGCGUGCAGGAAGAAUGCGCUACGCGUUGUAAACUGCUUUUAACCGGGAAGAAACCCCAGGACGUGUCCUGGGUUGACGGUACCGGAGGAAUAAGCACCGGCUAACUUCGUGCCAGCAGCCGCGGUGAUACGAAGGGUGCAAGCGUUAUCCGGAUUCAUUGGGUUUAAAGGGUGCGUAGGCGGAGCGUUAAGUCAGUGGUGAAAUCCUGCAGCUUAACUGUAGACUUGCCAUUGAUACUGGCGCUCUUGAGUGCGCUUGAAGUGGGCGGAAUGUGCCGUGUAGCGGUGAAAUGCUUAGAUAUGGCACAGAACACCAAUUGCGAAGGCAGCUCACUAAGGCGAUACUGACGCUGAGGCACGAAAGCGUGGGGAUCGAACAGGAUUAGAUACCAGUGUAGUCC
rnacentral:rRNA from 1 species